rnacentral:rRNA from 1 species
UACGUAGGGCGCAAGCGUUGUCCGGAAUUAUUGGGCGUAAAGAACUCGUAGGCGGCCAGUUGCGUCUGCUGUGAAAUCCCGGGGCUCAACCCCGGGCGUGCAGUGGAUACGGGCUGGCUAGAGGCAGGCAGGGGAGAACGGAAUUCCCGGUGUAGCGGUGAAAUGCGCAGAUAUCGGGAGGAACACCGGUGGCGAAGGCGGUUCUCUGGGCCUGUACUGACGCUGAGGAGCGAAAGCGUGGGGAGCGAACAGG